rnacentral:tRNA from 1 species
UCCCAUGUAGCUCAGUUGGUAGAGCAUGGUGUUUGCAACACCAGAGUUGUGGGUUCGAUUCCCACGGGGGAC